rnacentral:ribozyme from 1 species
CAAUUGCCACCAACCAGUUUCUGUACUUUAUUGGACUACACUCACACU